UACAGAGGUCCCAAGCGUUGUUCGGAUUCAUUGGGCGUAAAGGGUGCGUAGGCGGUCCUAUAAGUCAGUGGUGAAAUAUCGCAGCUCAACUGUGAGGGUGCCAUUGAUACUGUAGGACUUGAGUGAAUUUGAGGUAGGCGGAAUUGACGGUGUAGCGGUGAAAUGCUUAGAUAUCGUCAAGAACACCGAUAGUGAAGACAGCUUUACCA
rnacentral:rRNA from 1 species